GUAGCUCAAUGGCAGAGCUCCAGCCUUCCAAGCUGGCGGUGCGGGUUCGAUUCCCGUCCCCCGCUCCA
rnacentral:tRNA from 1 species